rnacentral:rRNA from 1 species
UACAGAGGUGGCAAGCGUUGUUCGGAAUAACUGGGCUUAAAGGGCGCGUAGGCGGGCUGUCCAGUCUGGGGUGAAAUCCCGCGGCUCAACCGUGGAACUGCCUUAGAUACUGACGGCCUCGAGGGAGGUAGGGGCGUGCGGAACUGUAGGUGGAGCGGUGAAAUGCGUUGAUAUCUACAGGAACUCCGGUGGCGAAGGCGGCGCGCUGGACCGCUUCUGACGCUGAGGCGCGAAAGCCAGGGGAGCAAACGGG